AUGCAAGACUUCCAGUCCAUCCCGGGCCUCGCCGGGCGGCUGUUCGGCGGCGCGGCGGCGGCGGACAUCCGGCGUGUGCAGGGCCCGGCGUCCCGGUGCGGCGUGUUCUCGCAGGCGGCGUCCGCGCAGCCGGAGGCGGCCGUAAAGUGCCCGCGGUGCGAGUCCACCAACACCAAGUUCUGCUACUACAACAACUACAACUUGUCGCAGCCGCGCCACUUCUGCAAGAGCUGCCGCCGGUACUGGACCAAGGGCGGCGUCCUCCGCAACGUCCCCGUCGGCGGUGGCUGCCGAAAGGCCAAGCGCAGCUCGUCGUCGGCGUCCGCACCGUCGACGCCCGCAGCCACGGACGCCAAGAGCCAGCGGCGCGCGUCGGCGUCGUCCUCCUCCCGCUCCAACAACGGCAGCGUGAGCCCCACGGCCGCUGCGGAAGAGACGACGACAACGGAGACCGACCCCCCUCCUCCGCCCACGCCGUCGUCCAACUCCAACUCCAACACUGUCGCCUUCGCCAACCGCAUGACGAACUACCCCUUCGCGGCAGACGUGCCACCUCCGGCGCCGAUAUUCGCCGACCAGGCCGCCGCGCUCGCGUCCCUCUUCGCGCCGCCUCCUCCACCACCUCUCCCGGUGUUCAACUUCUCGGCGGAGCCGAAGAUGGAGGAGGCGAUCGGCUCACUGCUGCUCCCGGGGCAGGUGCCGGCGCAAGAGACAGAGGAGCCCACCUGCACCUCCACCGUCGCCGACAUGGCGCCUUUCAUGUCCCUGGACGCGGGGAUCUUCGAGCUCGGCGACGCGUCGCCGGCCGAUUAUUGGAACGGCGGGAGCUGCUGGACGGACGUCCAGGAUCCGUCCGUCUACCUACCCUAG
rnacentral:rRNA from 1 species